rnacentral:lncRNA from 1 species
AGAAUUCUAGCAGGGCUCUCCUGCUAUUCAGAAAGUUACAACUGUGCCCUCUCCAGCAAAGUCUGGAUCUCAGCCAGCCCUAAGAGUGUGUCUGUGUCUUGGAGGAGCUCUUUUUGAGAUGCUGUAUCUCAGCCCUAGGGUGCAAGCCCAGAGGCAGUCUAUACCCCAACUCAACUGGCUGGUCCUCAAUGCUGCCUGCUUCCGUGCCCAACUUAGAACUACACAUCUGCUGCCUCUUGGUAACAUGUCAUUAUAAGGCUUCUUCAUCAGCCCUAACCCUGCCAACCACUCCUGCCUCACUGAAUGUGCCAACGGAUUGCUCAGCUCCAACCAAGGAAAAGAAGAAGGAAGUUGGAUACUUUAUACCCUCUACAUUGUCCAUUAGCAACACAACCUAGAGCUAGGAUGGAGAAAGAAAAUGCCAAAAUGCUAAUGAAAAAUGUUCAGAUGUAUCACAUAUUAAGCAUACAUGAUCUCAAAUAUUUUGCCUGAUUUAUGCUAUGCAUGCUAUUUUCCAUGUUGUGUAGGCUCUGAUGCUAGUCUACAUUUACAGAAAUCUCCAUCAGCUGUACAAAUGGCAAUUUAAAUACAUUUAACUAUGUGCUAAUAAUCUCAUAAUACAAUUUAUCAUGUAUGAUUGGCAGAAGAAAUUAUUUGGGGCAAAAGCUAUGAUUGUAUUGUUGUAAGUUAUUAUGAAUGCUGGGCAGUGUAGGGCAUGGCACUUGCUACCACCUCCCAGAAAUGUGUAAGGGCUGUUGAAGGUGCCUUGUUCUUCUUUCUUCUUCAAUAUAAGCAAAGCUAUUUAUAUCAUAAAGCUGAAACUUGAAAUUCCA